CCAUUUCCGUCGGACGCCAUUUACAGUGAAGACGUAAAAAGUGCUUGUUCAGCGUUUAUUUUAAUUAAUUUAGUGAAGAAAAAAAAAACAGAAAAAUGGAAACAAAAGCAGAAAGUGCAACGCUGCCACCACCGCAGCCACAAAGAAUCACCGCAAACAAUAUGAAACAGCAGCAAGGCAACAAAAAUGCUGGUGGACCCAAUGGUGUCGCCAGCCAAGGAAAACCUUUGGUUAAGGCCGAACCAGCCACGCCAAUGGAUCAGUCGUUCAGUCAAAAUGAAGAUCGUAAGCCCUUCAACCAGAAUCAUGGAAAUAACCAAGGGGGAAAUCGUCAAAACUUUGGUGGACGAGGACGUGGAAUGGGCAAUCGUAACUUUGGCGGAGGACGUGGUGGCCCCGGUGGCGGAAAUAAUCGCAAUUUCCAGCAGAAUCGCAAUCAGAACCAAAAUCAAGAUGCGGACGGUGGUCAAGGCGACAACAAUCAGAGUAGUCGCGGUAACAACCAGGGUGACAACCGUGGCGAUCGUAUGCAUCACAAGGGACAAAAUCGCGGAAUGCGCAAUGGCGGCGGUGAAGAUUUCAUGAUCAAUCAGAAAUUGAGCCAUAUGCAAGGUCCGACACACGACAUUCCAUCGAUCGAACAUCAAGAAGUGAAAUUUUCCGGACGUAAUCGGCUGUACAUCGGCAAUUUGACCAGUGAUAUCACCGAAGAGGAACUGAAAGAUCUCUUUACGCCGUACGGUGAAACGAGCGAAGCGUUUUUGAAUGCGGAAAAAUUCUUUGCAUUCAUCAAAGUGGAUUUCCGUGCCAAUGCUGAAAAGGCUAAACGUGAACUGGAUGGUUUCGUGCGCAAAAGUCGUGCGCUUCGUGUUCGAUUCGCACCAAAUGCGACAACCAUUCGGGUUAAGAAUCUGACACCGUUCGUCACGAACGAACUAUUGCACAAAUCGUUUGAAAUAUUUGGACAAGUCGAACGAGCCGUGAUUGUAGUCGAUGAUCGAGGAAAGCCAACCGGUGAAGGUAUCGUUGAAUUCACUCGUAAAUCGGGUGCCAUGGCCGCUAUCCGCUAUUGCACAGAUAAAUGUUUCUUCUUGACGUCAUCGCUGCGUCCGUGUGUGUGUGAGCUAUUUGAACACAGUGACGAUACUGACGGCUAUCCGGAAAAGACCAUCACCAAGAAAAAUCAAGAUUUCAUGAGCGCUCGUUCUUGUGGACCACGAUUCGCCGAACAGGGUUCGUUUGAACACGAAUAUGGUACAAGAUGGAAGCAGUUGCAUGAUUUGUACAAACAGAAACACGACGCCCUCAAGAAUGAAAUGAAAAUGGAGGAAGAGAAACUGGAAGCUCAAAUGGAAUACGCACGCUACGAACACGAGACCGAAAUGCUAAGAAAUCAACUACGCCAGAGAGAACAGGACCGAGACCAGCGCAAAACAAACUGGGAAAUGAAAGAGAAAUUCGCCGAUGAGCAACGAAUGAAAAACGAGGAACAAAUGCGUCGUGCCCAAGAGGAAAUGUCAAUGAGAAUGUCGAAACAAGAGGAGGAAUUGAGACGACGACAACAGGAAAACACAUUGUUCAUGCAGGCUCAACAGUUAAAUUCGUUGCUGGACGCUCAAGAGAAUCAACAAGGCUCGGGUAAUAUCGGAAAUCUCGGUAACAUGGGCAACAAUAUCGGUAACAAUCUUGGCGGCGGUGGCGGUGGUGGAAACAACAAUAUGAGGAAAAACUUCGACGGUCCACGACAGAAUCAAAACUUCCAAGGCGGAAUGGGCGGCGGCAAUAUGGUUACAAGUCGGCUUGAAUGAAAAAAAAAGUUUCUUUGCUGCGAUGACAUCGAAUCAAUAUAAGUGAUCGAAGAAGAUGAAGUCAAUGGCAUUUUACUGGGCAAGAUAUGAAUCAGAAUGAUUUAAGGAGUGAGAUCUCUAUGGUUCGAUCGGGGAUAUAAAAGCGCCAAGCACACCACAAGACCAUCCAUAUUCCACUCUACUCUUUGAGUGCAUCUAAUUGGCCAUCCGCAAAAACGAGACAUACUACGAUGAUCCUACGAAUGAGCAGAAAAUAAUUCAAAAGUUUCUGUUUAACAUGACAAGACGAUUCCAUAAGAAAAACAAACUCCAAGCGGAAGUGCAAUUCGGAUUGAAUGAACAAUACGCGCUGCAACGCAACCGUUUUUCGGAUAGAGUUGCUCUGUGAUCCAUUCGGAUAUAUUUCAUCUCAACAUGACAGAAGGUUGUAACGGCUGAAUUUUGACAUUGAUAGAGGAAUUCGGAUGCUCAACAGCCUUGGAUUUUUUACUGCUGGACUGGACUGUGUACAACGGUGGAAACAAGUUGAUCAGGUUUGAGUAUUUAUCACAGUAGCACAAUCUACCGUUUCC